rnacentral:lncRNA from 1 species
GAAAUGAGUAAUACCCACAGGAUAUUGGGUAGAUCAUGGCAAGUAGUGAGAAGUAUCAGGCAAGGAAGAAGAAACAAAAUGUUGGCUCCUUAGAAAGGCAUCUCAAAGGGGAAUUCCACAAGAUACCCAAGAGGAUGCAGGGCCAAGGCAUGCUGUAGUCCAAGGUGCAGGGUUCGAGGGAAGAGGAGGCAUGAGCUGUGAGCUCAGGUCUUUCAUGAUUUAUGAUUCAUAUUUCAUCUUUUCAUCUAGCCGCUAUUAUGGUGUAUGUCAAGAGGUCACAGGAUGUCAGCGGGCUCCAAAUCGGAAAAGACUUGGCCUCAUUGCCUGAUUACCGGCGGCCGCCCCAGCUGAAUUCAAGAAUGUGCAUCUGAAAGUGCUGUUUCCUACUGGCUGUGGCUGGAGCACAGAAGUCGAGGUGAUGCCUCC